CAUGGUGAUUUACUUUAUUUUCUUGGUAGUUUCUCUUCCUUCCUGUCCUCGCCUCUAAUUUCGGGUGAUUUUACUUUCUCUUUUCUCACUGGUUUCUCUUCCUUCCUCACCUCAGCUCUAAUUUCAAGCGAUUUCCUUCCUCUUUUUCUCAGCAGUUUCUCUUUCUUCUUCUCCUUCGCUCUAAUUUCAAGUGAUUUACUCUCUCUUUUCUCAGCAGCUCCUCUACGUUCCUCUCCUCAGCUUCUUAAAAGUGAUUUGCUUUAAUUUCAAGUGAUUUACUCUCUCUUUUCUCAGCAGUUUCUCUGCCUUCCUCUCCUCAGCUUCUUAAAAGUGAAGUCACAUCCAUAGAUUUUUCACAGCACCACUUCCAUCAGUACCUUUGUUUCAUUCCUCUGCAAUCUAAAAAAAAAACACUAUAUCUGCCCAUCCAUCCGUCUACCACACCCUUCUCCUAAGGUUGUGUAUAUAGGCUUUCUUCAUCUGCUCAUUUGAGAUAGAUCUUAAAAAGAACUUUUUCCUUUCAAAUACAGCAUCGACCAUCCAACAGUACUCAAUAGCAACGAUUAAAAGUGCCAGGUCAUUUUCCCUCCUAUGGCCACAUGCUGAGUUGUACGAUUUGAACUGUCCAUAUUCUAACCAGGAGCAACUAACUAUUGGUCCAUAAUCAAGCUUGCUUCUGAAAAGUGAAGACAUAUAAAC